AGGCGCCUCUCCCCUCUCAUUCACGUUUCUGGAAAAAAACCAAUUUAGGAGAGCAAACUUUCUCCUCUUUCUCACGUUUCUGGAAAAACAAACUUAGGAGAACAAACCUUCUCCUCUCUCGCAACGAUCAACAACAACGAAACCCUCUCGGUUUGCUCUUCUCACGGCCAACAACAACACUCAGUUUCUCUCUCAACUGGUCACUCUCGCCGUGAACAACCACAAACUACGGUUCUCCUCACUGAGCAACGAGAACGAUAGCGGCCAUGGAAGAAGCUUGAAGAACUCAGGUAUGCUUCUUCCCAAAUUUCGUUUUUGUUUUCUUUUUAAUGAUAGCUCAGUAAUCGCUCAUUCAUCUUUUCCGAUUGCUCACUGUGAACGAACAAUUGACAACAAACUCUCUUUACCGCUCUCGGCUCUCUCUCUCUCUCUGAGUUUUCACCGAACAAACAACAACCACAUCAUAAUCCUCUCUCUCGGUUUGCUCUCAGUUCUCUCGGAUUCUCAUCAAGUCGCAACAACACAAGGCCGUGGAGGAGAAACAAAGCUCAUACCAACAAGAACAACUCAAGUGAACUGAUUUUCAGAAAUAUAAAACGAGGAACUAAAUUUAACAGCAAUAACAAUUUUGAGAGCAAGAGAGGAAUUGACUUACCUAUGGCAAGGAUAGUUCCGCCGGAUUAUGUUGAGGUACAAUCAACGGUUAAUGGAAUUAUGGAGAGUGAAAGAAAAGAGGCUUACCUGCGGCAAAGAUGUUGAAGAUUCAUCUAUGGAGGCUCGAAGAUGGGAGCCAUCGUUGAAGGUUGCUAGCAAGCAAG